rnacentral:rRNA from 1 species
UGCGUAGGCGGGCUAAUAAGUCAGUGGUGAAAUCUCUCGGCUCAACCGGGAAACUGCCAUUGAUACUGUUAGUCUUGAGUUCGGUUGAGGUAAGCGGAAUGUGUAAUGUAGCGGUGAAAUGCUUAGAUAUUACACAGAACACCAAUUGCGUAGGCAGCUUACUAGACCGACACUGACGCUGAGGCACGAAAGCGUGGGGAGCGAACAGGAUUAGAUACCCUGGUAGUCC